AUGAUUAAAUACAAAAGUAAUUCCUUCCCACCUCCGCACCCCUGCUUUAUUGCAGGAGAGCCCACGCAACAAAUAAUGGCUUUAAAUAAUGGCUUUCUUCCCCGGGAGCAGACUCUGGAGAGGAGUUUCCUGGUGCUGUGCUCCUGCCCACCCUCUGAUGCUGCAAGUGGAUGCCAGCCGAGCGUGCUCUGUGAUGAACUGAGCUGUGCUGUGCUUAAUAAAGAGGAUGAAGACGUGUCACCCUUUGCAAACUCCUCCCCUCCAGCUCACGGAUUUGAGCCAGGUUCAUCCCACAGCUAUGAUCCAACUGAUGACGACCCAAGCACAGGCAGUUUCCCUUGCUGA
rnacentral:lncRNA from 1 species